rnacentral:rRNA from 1 species
CUCCUCGCGCCACCGCUCUAGAGUUUGAUCCUGGCUCAGGAUGAACGCUGGCGGCGUGCUUAACACAUGCAAGUCGAACGAUGAAGCCCAGCUUGCUGGGUGGAAUAGUGGCGAACGGGUGAGUAACACGUGAGUAACCUGCCCUUAACUCUGGGAUAAGCCUGGGAAACUGGGUCUAAUACCGGAUAGGAGCGUCCACCGCAUGGUGGGUGUUGGAAAGAUUUAUCGGUUUUGGAUGGACUCGCGGCCUAUCAGCUUGUUGGUGAGGUAAUGGCUCACCAAGGCGACGACGGGUAGCCGGCCUGAGAGGGUGACCGGCCACACUGGGACUGAGACACGGCCCAGACUCCUACGGGAGGCAGCAGUGGGGAAUAUUGCACAAUGGGCGCAAGCCUGAUGCAGCGACGCCGCGUGAGGGAUGACGGCCUUCGGGUUGUAAACCUCUUUCAGUAGGGAAGAAGCGAAAGUGACGGUACCUGCAGAAGAAGCACCGGCUAACUACGUGCCAGCAACCGCGGUAAUACGUAGGGUGCGAGCGUUAUCCGGAAUUAUUGGGCGUAAAGAGCUCGUAGGCGGUUUGUCGCGUCUGUCGUGAAAGUCCGGGGCUUAACCCCGGAUCUGCGGUGGGUACGGGCAGACUAGAGUGCAGUAGGGGAGACUGGAAUUCCUGGUGUAGCGGUGGAAUGCGCAGAUAUCAGGAGGAACACCGAUGGCGAAGGCAGGUCUUUGGGCUGUAACUGACGAUGAGGAGCGAAAGCAUGGGGAGCGAACAGGAUUAGAUACCCUGGUAGUCCAUGCCGUAAACGUUGGGCAGUAGGUGUGGGGACCAUUGCCACGGUUUCCGCGCCGCAAGGUAUCCGCAUUAAGGUGCUUUUUAAAAUGCGGUGUUAUACCC